rnacentral:rRNA from 1 species
UACGCAGGUGGCAAGCGUUGUCCGGAUUUACUGGGCGUAAAGAGCGCGCAGGCGGUCGUUCAAGUCGCGUGUGAAAGCCCCCGGCUCAACUGGGGAGGGUCACGCGAUACUGAUCGACUGGAAGGCAGGAGAGGGUAGUGGAAUUCCCGGUGUAGUGGUGAAAUGCGUAGAUAUCGGGAGGAACACCAGUGGCGAAGGCGACUACCUGGCCUGUUCUUGACGCUGAGGCGCGAAAGCUAGGGGAGCAAACGGG